CCUACGGGUGGCUGCAGUCGAGAAUCAUUCACAAUGGGGGAAACCCUGAUGCUGCGACGCCGCGUGGGGGAAGAAGUAAUUCGGUAUGUAAAGCUCUAUUAGUAGGGAAGAUAAUGACGGUAUCUGAGUAAGAAGCCCCGGCUAACUACGUGCCAGCAGCCGCGGUAAUACGUAGGGGGCAAGCGUUACUCGGAAUCACUGGGCGUAAAGGGAGCGUAGGCGGGAGUGCAAGUCAGGAGUGAAAGGCGGGGGCUCAACCCCCGGACUGCUCUGGAAACUGUACGGCUGGAGUGCGGGAGAGGUAGGUGGAAUUCCUGGUGUAGCGGUAAAAUGCGUAGAGAUUAGGAGGAACACUAGUGGCGAAGGCGACUUACUGGACUGUAACUGACGUUGAGGCGCGAAAGCGUGGGGAGCAAACAGGAUUAGAUACCCCGGUAGUC
rnacentral:rRNA from 1 species